rnacentral:rRNA from 1 species
CCUACGGGAGGCUGCAGUGAGGAAUAUUGGUCAAUGGGCGAGAGCCUGAACCAGCCAAGUCGCGUGAGGGAGUACUGCCCUAUGGGUUGUAAACCUCUUUUGUCGGGGAGCAAAAGCCGGACGUGUCCGGCUGUGAGAGUACCCGAAGAAAAAGCAUCGGCUAACUCCGUGCCAGCAGCCGCGGUAAUACGGAGGAUGCGAGCGUUAUCCGGAUUUAUUGGGGUAAAGGGGUGCGCAGGCGGAUUUUUAAGUCAGCGGUCAAAUCGUGGGGCUCAACCCCAUCCAGCCGUUGAAACUGGGGAUCUAGAGUGUGCGAGAGGUAUGCGGAAUGCGUGGUGUAGCGGUGAAAUGCGUAGAUAUCACGCAGAACCCCGAUUGCGAAGGCAGCAUACCGGUGCACAACUGACGCUCAGGCACGAAAGCGUGGGUAUCGAACAGGAUUAGAUACCCUGGUAGUC